AGGUCAUGUGUUUCUUGUACUGAAGACCCCAGAGCUGGAUGCAACACUCCAGGUAGGGUCACCAGAGUUGGAUAGAGGGGCAGAAUCAGCUCCCUUGAUCUGCUGCCCAUACUGCUUUUGUUGCAGCCCAGGAUGCAGUUGCCUUUCCGCUUCAUGCUUAUGUUGCCAGCUCAUGUACUAUUUUUCAAUCAACCAGCAGCCCCAAACAUUUUGCAGGGCUGCUCUCAGACAGGUCAUCACCCAGUGUGUACAGACAUUGGGAAUUGUUGCAACCCAUUUGCAGGACCUUGCACUUGGUCUUGUGGAACCUCAUGAUGUUUGCGUGGGUCCAUGUCUCUAUGUUGUAAAAGUCACCCUUCUCUUCCCUCAAGCAUAUCAACUGCACCACUCAGAUUGAUAGAAUCUGAAAACUGGCUGAGGAUGCACCCAAUCCCCCAUCUGUCAUUAAUAAAGACCUAUUGUAUUUAUUAAUAAAGAUUUAUUAUAGGAUCUUGGUGAAUGCAAUUCUGGAGAUAUAAUCAUGUAUCAAGUUUCUGUGGAAAACCAUGUCAGCUUCCAUACUGUCUGUAAUCAUAAUCCUAUGAUAUCCAUGACAUUUUACGGACCUAUUCUGGGCACAGAAAACUUAGGCAGCUGGACUCCAAGGACAGUAGCCUUCCUGGGAUACUGCUCAUUCCCUGUCUUACACCAGAGGUGACAUGUCACAGCACAGUGGGAGAGAGCAGAAGGAAGGGUGGGAUCUGCACAGUGAUCUGCAGAUCACAUCUACCGGGUUUGCCUACAACUCUUUUGGUGAGCCUUAGAAGGCAGAAGGAGACCAGAAAUAGAAGCAUCAAUCAACAACCACUUUAAUGCCUACUUUUUCAUGACAGGCUUGGUUCCAGUCCUUUCCUUCAAACUUCCCUACCAUUCAAUUUUGCCUACACUGCUGAAAAAAUUUGGUACUGCCAGAGGAUGAAGAAGGUAGGAUCUUAUUGGGAAUUUUAAAAGCAGGGAGAAUGGUUGCCACCUGCUGUUCAUGGUAACUGAAGCAUCCUGAAAAUGUCACUGGAGUCCUGUUACUGGGCUGCAUAGUAAGUGAUAGUCGCCUCUCAAAAAGGAUGAAAAAAAUAUGCCAACAUAUAUUGCCUGGGCUAUCUGUCUAGGUAUUUGCAGAGCAUCUGUGGAGAGUAAUUGUACAUCAGAGCAGACAAAUAAUGCAGGAUUUUUAAUACCUAUUUUGGCAGCAAGUUUGAAACUAAAAGUCUAUUGUUGAAGGAGACAGAAAAAAUUUGAAAAAGGCAGGAAGCAGCCAAAAGAAAUCUAAGGAAACUAUAAUAAAAGCUACUGGGGUAUUUUUUCUCCACACAGUUAUCUGCCAAAAAUUUAUUAGGCUCUUCAUUUAUUGCUCAGGAAUACUCAACACAACUCAUUAGGCUGUAGUCCUAGGUUUACUUUCUCUAGCCAGAAAAAAACAAAAAACAAAACAGCAAAUCAUGAGAGGUGCACUAAUUUUAUUGGUUCCUUUCAAUUGAUCAUGCACUUCUUUUUGGUGAAAGUAUUUUCAAGACAUAGUUUGUCUUGACAUAUAUCAUCUGCUGUGAAUAGAGGUGCUUUAAUCUGGAAAGGAGUGCACAAGUCAUUAGACUUGUAGUGUUAACAGUUACAGGAUAAAUUCUGCCAUUAUAGGCUCUAUUGUCUCAUUUACCGACUCUAUUGACCUGUAUUUCCCAGUCUCCACCAAAUGCUCUGUGAAGGUUCUGACCACAAGUACUACCUAUAGCAAAUUACCUCAUUCUCUUCAUCUCUCCACAAGAACAGUCUAUCAGGAAGUUCAUUUUCUCCAGGAAACCUCUGAAAUGUCACUCAGUCCCUCCCUUGUAACCUUCCUCUCCCUCCUUCCCCUUUUGAAGGAGACUUAACCAGCCUAUGAAGAAGGCUUUCCUUUGUGAUUUAACAUAGCUAUUACUUUUAGCAGAAUUUUUUAAAUAUUAGCAUUUAAGUUUUAACCAUUAAGCACCAGAAUUUGAAGGCUUAGGAUUGAUGCUUACCCAAUUUAAGGUAACUUAAACAAUUUUACAUUUCAGAAAGUGUUGACAUUCCAUCUUAGGUCAAGGCAACUCCUCUUCCCCAGUGACACGUAGUGACAAUUACUCUCUCCCUAUCACUUGGACUCACCAACCAGCUGCAGUACUAAAUAUGGUGAAACAAAUGCAUGGUUACAAAGUAAAUGUAUUUUUUACUCAGAGCUUAGCCAAUGGGUGUUAGUUGGGCACAGCUUGACAGCGACUGAGGAUAUACUGUCAGCUUAUACCGCCCUCACAGUAAUUGACUGAUCUAACCAAAUUUGACAAAAAGGGCCAAUCAAUGAAGUUUCUGUACAUUGUGCAGUUUCUGUGCACACAGACCAGUACUUGAGACUAAAGUGACAGCCUGGCCACACAAUCAACCACAGCCCAUGGUAAACUAUUGGAAGGUAAAAUUGUAUUGAUGAGAUUAGAGUCUUAUAACUAAAGGAAUCUUAUCACUACAUGUCACAUACCAUGAAUUUGGGAAAAAAAUUCUACCAAUUUUACAAAGUUGCAUGGGCCACUUAUAUUUUACCCAGAGCAGAGACAUAUAAAAAUUACAUAUGUUCAAUACUUAGCAGAAGUUGCAAAGUUCUCACACCUAGGCAGAUGUGAAUACUUAGAUGUGAGUGGGCUGGUGCAUUAUAUGAGCAGCCGUGGAUAAGUUAGCUUUAAAUCAACUAUGCUAAAUGAAGGAAUCAAAAGAGUUUUAAAAUCCACUUUCCAUACCGGCAUCUGAUGACACAGUAAAAUUCUAGGUGCUAUUCUAGUGGUAGUUGUGCAUUUCCACUGUGAUUCAUCUAACUGAUUGACUUUUGCUGUUGCAAAGUCAAGGAGGGUAAGAUCAAAUUCCUGCCUCUUAGGAAAAAGGACACUCCACAUUUUGCUGCAAAUAUUGGAAAGUAUAAAAAAAGUGUCUUCAGUAAAAAAAAGAAAAUAAAGAAGACUGUGUCUCUGAAAGCUGUUACAAAUUUUUGUGAGUGUAAACUAAUUUUAAUUUACACUCAUAAAUUUUUGCAUCUGAAAAGAAAGUGGAAGUUUACAUUUACAAAGAAAAGAACACAGUUGUUUCAAUCAUGAGUUGUAAAUAACAAGUAAUAUAGUUAUAAAUGCAAAAAAAAAAAGAAAAA
ensembl:lncRNA